CUUUGUCUACAAUUUUGGAAAA
rnacentral:siRNA from 1 species